GACGAACGCUGGCGGCGUGCUUAACACAUGCAAGUCGAACGGUAAGGCCCUUCGGGGUACACGAGUGGCGAACGGGUGAGUAAAACGUGGGUGAUCUACCCUGCACUUCGGGGUAAGCCUGGGAAACUGGGUCUAAUACCGGAUAGGACCACUGCCUGCAUGGGUGGUGGUGGAAAGCUUUUGCGGUGUGGGAUGGGCCCGCGGCCUAUCAGCUUGUUGGUGGGGUGAUGGCCUACCAAGGCGACGACGGGUAGCCGGCCUGAGAGGGUGACCGGCCACACUGGGACUGAGAUACGGCCCAGACUCCUACGGGAGGCAGCAGUGGGGAAUAUUGCACAAUGGGCGCAAGCCUGAUGCAGCGACGCCGCGUGAGGGAUGACGGCCUUCGGGUUGUAAACCUCUUUCAGCAUCGACGAAGCGAAAGUGACGGUAGGUGCAGAAGAAGGACCGGCCAACUACGUGCCAGCCGCCGCGGUAA
rnacentral:rRNA from 1 species